CCUACGGGAGGCAGCAGUGGGGAAUAUUGGACAAUGGGCGAAAGCCUGAUCCAGCCAUGCCGCGUGUGUGAAGAAGGCCUUCGGGUUGUAAAGCACUUUCAGUGGGGAAGAAAGCCUUGGGGCUAAUACCCUCGAGGAAGGACAUCACCCACAGAAGAAGCACCGGCUAACUCCGUGCCAGCAGCCGCGGUAAUACGGAGGGUGCGAGCGUUAAUCGGAAUUACUGGGCGUAAAGCGCGCGUAGGCGGUCUGAUAAGCCGGUUGUGAAAGCCCCGGGCUCAACCUGGGAACGGCAUCCGGAACUGUCAGGCUAGAGUGCAGGAGAGGAAGGUAGAAUUCCCGGUGUAGCGGUGAAAUGCGUAGAGAGCGGGAGGAAUACCAGUGGCGAAGGCGGCCUUCUGGACUGACACUGACGCUGAGGUGCGAAAGCGUGGGUAGCAAACAGGAUUAGAUACCCGUGUAGUC
rnacentral:rRNA from 1 species